AGAGUUUGAUCCUGGCUCAGGACGAACGCUGGCGGCGUGCUUAACACAUGCAAGUCGAACGGAAAGGCCCUGCUUUUGUGGGGUGCUCGAGUGGCGAACGGGUGAGUAACACGUGAGUAACCUGCCCUUGACUUUGGGAUAACUUCAGGAAACUGGGGCUAAUACCGGAUAGGAGCUCCUGCUGCAUGGUGGGGGUUGGAAAGUUUCGGCGGUUGGGGAUGGACUCGCGGCUUAUCAGCUUGUUGGUGGGGUAGUGGCUUACCAAGGCUUUGACGGGUAGCCGGCCUGAGAGGGUGACCGGCCACAUUGGGACUGAGAUACGGCCCAGACUCCUACGGGAGGCAGCAGUGGGGAAUAUUGCACAAUGGGCGGAAGCCUGAUGCAGCAACGCCGCGUGCGGGGUGACGGCCUUCGGGUUGUAAACCGCUUUCGCCUGUGACGAAGCGUGAGUGACGGUAAUGGAAG
rnacentral:rRNA from 1 species